rnacentral:lncRNA from 1 species
UACCUUGUUAGUUGUUAGUACAUAAGUGGAGGUAAAGCAAAACCGGCUCACAGUUCUUCUCGUCUGUUUCGUUGAUCGGCCGCUUAUUAAUAUACUUUACGGAGUGUCGUUUUUAAUUUUUUAAAAAAAAUUGUAGGUGUCAAUGACAAGAUCGAAGAGAAAGUUCGCGAUUACGGACAAAUUUCUGCCAAGGCUAGCCAAAAAUUUGUGUACCAGAAAAGGUAGCCGCCGGGCGAACACUGGAAACCGCCUAGAACACGCAGUGCUCACCCACAUACAACACGUGCCGUAGUUUCCCUGAAGUUUGAACUUCCUCAUCGCUAAUCAUCAUCCAUCUCCUUUUCACCGGCAUCACUUAGUCAGAGCGAAAGAGACAUACACUGGCAGUCAUGGCUCGUGGAGACGAAUGCAAAACCGCGUCUAAGGCUAACUAUGCCUGCAAAAAUUUGGAUGUAACUGCUCCUUUAAAAAAAUCAGUUACCCAACCAUCCACAUCUCAAGCACCAGGGAAGCAGCAACAGAAGAAGGAUUACGGAGCUUGGGGUCCCAUCUACAAAGACAGGAAGACGUUCACAGAUAUGCAUUUGUGUUGAUAAACACAUCGAGCCGGAUCAUCAUCACUUCGCAUGACACUGCUUACCAUUUACCAUUCAUAGUCACAAAAUAAUGUUUGUUUUUUAAUUCGCCUUUUUUUUAAUUAUAACUGAUAAUAAAUAACGAAUUUUCUCAUAAAUUGUUUUAUUAUAAGUCUUUAGUAUAUUUGAAAGUCGAAUGUUGAAAGUUGCUAUAAAAAUGUUUAUAGUCAAUUUACAAAGUUGAUAUUUUACUAAUAAAUCGAUAAAAUGAGUGGAAUUGUAAAAAUGAGAUAAAAAAAUACCAAGUAAUUUGAAAUCUUUUGUAAAAGUUAUAAUUGUAAUAUUCAAAAUUAUUAGGCGAUUGUAAGUUUAUAUUUUUAGCAAUUAAAGGUUUUACACUAGUAAAAUUUUGUAACGAUUAUUUUUUUAUCAUGUUACAAAAUAAAUGUCGUGAAAACAAUGUUGUUUUUGUGACGUGUGGCUUUUUAUGUUCAUUUGAUGGUUUAGGGAUUUUUUAUUUUUGAUUUGCACACUAACAAAACAUGUAUUUCAUUCUUAAUAACAUAUUAAAUUGCAUCAUUCAUUACUGACA